UGGGGAAUAUUGGACAAUGGGCGCAAGCCUGAUCCAGCCAUGCCGCGUGAGUGAUGAAGGCCCUAGGGUUGUAAAGCUCUUUCGCCAGGGACGAUAAUGACGGUACCUGGAUAAGAGGCCCCGGCUAACUUCGUGCCAGCAGCCGCGGUAAUACGAAGGGGGCUAGCGUUGUUCGGAAUCACUGGGCGUAAAGCGCACGUAGGCGGAUCUUUAAGUCAGGGGUGAAAUCCCGAGGCUCAACCUCGGAACUGCCUUUGAUACUGGAGGUCUCGAGUCCGGGAGAGGUGAGUGGAACUGCGAGUGUAGAGGUGAAAUUCGUAGAUAUUCGCAAGAACACCAGUGGCGAAGGCGGCUCACUGGCCCGGUACUGACGCUGAGGUGCGAAAAGCGUGGGGAGCAAAACAGGAUUAGAUACCCUGGUAGUCCACGCCGUAAACUAUGGAUGCUAGCCGUUGGGCAGCUUGUGUUCAGUGGCGCAGCUAACGCUUUAAGCAUCCCGCCUGGGGGAGUACGGUCGCAAGAUUAAAACUCAAAUGAAUUGACGGGGUC
rnacentral:rRNA from 1 species